rnacentral:lncRNA from 1 species
CCAAAAUGUACUGCUUUUACUAAUGAAAGUGUAAUGCAAGAGUUUUAUUUCCACCUCUCCCACACAAUCCAAGAGUACAGUCAGAACACAGAGGAAGAAUUCGAUCACUACAGAAAAUUAACAUGCCAGGUGCUCCGAAGACUUGUUCUUUAUCCAUCAUUUUACAGAUACUUCUGAGGUCUCUGCAAACGUCAUUAAGCAGGUGCUUGUAAGUACUUCUGCAGACUAGAGAUGAAUACUGACACACUGCAGGUUAUGGCAAACAGGCCUGACAAGAAAAUGAAUAGUCAAUACAUACGUCAUGAAGUGCGAGGAUGUGAAACUAGCAACCUGAGAAACUUCUGGGAAAAGACGAUUGAACAACAAACUCGGUAUCUGCAAGUUGAAAAAGAACGUCAGCAAAGAAGUGCUCUGACAAAGCUCAGAAACGAAUGGAUGGAGAGGCUUGAAAAACGAAUAAAGAUGUUGAGGACCCAAACUGAAGACACAUCUAGUUGAAGAUCCCACACUCGCUGCAUGUAUGGGAAGAGAAUAAAAUUGUUUUGUGGGAGAGUAUGAGAGUGGGA